rnacentral:lncRNA from 1 species
UAUAUAAUUAGCUGCAAUUACCGAAACUGUUCAGAGUGCUAGUUCCACAGAACAUCAUUUAUACAGCAAAGUAUCCACAUUGAAAGUUGUGCCGUGCAAUUCCGUUACUGUACAGAACAAACCCAACAUGGCACCUAUAUGCAUAGAUUGCAGAGAUGGUAUAUCUACAGGCGAUAUCUACGGUUUAAAUGGUCCCAUCAAAAGCAACGAUUAUUCUGCCUUUAAGGAUGUUGCCAUUAAGAUGAUCAUGAAUACAAGACCAUGGAUUCUUAAAGAUGCACAACUACUAAUUUCUUUACCAGAUGGCCACGAGUACCAAUUAUUUGCUGGUAAUAGAGUGAAUAGGUUUACCAUAUUCCGACCAGAUUCUAAAGCGGCACCGGUAUGUUUUCAGAAAGAGAAAAGUUGGUGGUUACUUCUCGAGGAAACAACCGCAAAUACAUUUACUUGGGUUAAAGAUACGACUUAUCAAGUCUUACCCUCAUUAUCGUCUUACUUUAUGAAGGCAAUUACCUUCGGAUAACCUGUCGAUGACAUAAGUAAUCAAUUACAGAAAAGUCAUGUAGAAUAAUUAUAGUUUGUGUAUACAUCAUAGGUCUACAUUUGCUGAUAAGUGUCCGAUACUUAGUUCAUGUAUUCAUAAAAUAUUAUGAAAUUGUUCAGGCCUAAUUGUUCAGUUAAAAAUUAUAAUGAAACGUACCAUAUUCCGUGUGCUCAACAAUCAAACAAACUUAGAAAUCUCGCCUCUUAAAUUACUUAGACAACAACUUACGUUCAUAUAUGUUUUUGUAUUCUAGUGAUAGGCCUCUUUAGCCUAUAUAUAAUAACAGCAGUUUCAUAAUCGUUCACAUAAAACAAGGGAAAAAAAACUAAUAACAAUAAUGAUGGUAAUAAUGAUAAGGAUCAUAACGAUUUAAGGCCUGACUAGAACAGGUAAAAUCAUGUAGUAGUAGCGCUUAUUAAGUUUUCUUUAAUUUUGAUUGUCCAUUAUGAUUUGAUUUCUGUUUUAUAUGUUUUUAUAAGUCUGUUAGUAUGUGAGAUGUAGAGUUAUUGUUUGGUUGAUGGGGGGGGGGGGAAGAAACAAAAAUAUACUGUGGACCAUGAAGAGGAAAACUUUCGAUCAACAUGCGUUAACACUAAAAUUACUUUAUUAAAAUUAUGAAUUAUUCAUUGAUAAACAUCUGUUUUAAUUAGAAUUAUUGUGCUGUAUUCAAUUUAUGAAAAGUCAAGCUGAAAUAUACCAUAUUUUUAUGGUUCAUGUAAAAUUUAAACUCAUUCCUGUAGAAACCACUAUCUUUGGUAUUUUUUGGAAUCAUGAAUUUACUAGUUUUAUGGUAAAAACAGGGCCUGUUCAAGUCUCCUUUGUGUUGUUAGAGGUAGCAGCUCUAUAUAUAUUGUGAAAUAAUAAUAAUAAUAAUAAUAAUAAUAAUAAUAAUAAUAAUAUUAAGCCUAAUAAUAUUAUAGGCUAAUUCAUUUUUAUAUUUUACUGUGCAAUCCAAGGAAGUUAAUUUUAAAUCUUACCAUGCUGUAUUUUUGACCAAUAAAUUAC